GUGAGCUGUCACGUCGUGGCGUGAGGUUCUUCCGCCACUUGAGUGCUGGUGGGCGGAGUUAGGUGCCAAAAAAUCCCUGGGACUGGACGAUUUAGUCGCUGCUCAUUUAGGCAGGUGGUAGGUUUCCCAAUGAGCUAUGCUUCAUUGUAUCUACUUUAAAUAAAAAGAUUGAUGCAUAUUAAAGUAAUUAGUUUGAGCUGGGUGUGGUAGUGCACGCCUGAAAUCCCCCCGACUCAGGAGGCCAAGGCAAGAGAAUCACAGGUUCGAGGUCAGCCUCAGUAAUUUAGCAAGUCCUUGCCUCAAAAAGGACUGGCGAUGUAGUUCAGUGGUAAAGUGCUUCUAGAUUAAAAAAUAAUAAUAAAUAAAAAAAUUUUUUUGAGCGUGCUGUACCUAUGCCCAAUCCUAAAUUUUAAAUUUCAGUAAGUUUAAACCUAAAUUGUCAUUUCUCCGUGCCUGAGAAUGAACCCUUGAACCGUAACAUGGAAGGCCAGAGUUCCUAGGGUCUACUUCAAAGCCCUACACCCGAUGACUGGGGGUAUCCGUAGCUCAGCGGUAGAUCCCUUGCCUACCAUGUGCUAGGACCGGGGUUCGAUCACCAACAUCGCAAAACAAAACUAAAAAUCCUUUGCCCAAGUCUACAAUGAAGGCAGCCUUUAUUCAUUCGAAAUGAGUUGAACAUUAAUCUAGAUGCCUUGCACACAAGAGUAAUUAAACUACUUGUUGCUCUCAAAGAGUUGAGGCUUGGCUAGAAUAUGGGAUCCUCCUGCCUCAGCCUCCUGAAUUGUGAGUCGCUGGGAUUACAGGUGUGUGCCACCUCGCCUGUCGUUUAAUCCCAAAGUCUCACUCUUUCUGCUCUAGGCACCAGCACUGGGACUCUUCCCAACUCCUCCCUCCCAAACACAAACACGCCUAACUAUGAGAGUCUCUCUUACUCUUUGGGAAAUAUUGUCACCUCUGCCUCAGUCAAAUGUGUUAGGUUCCUCUCAUGGGUGCCUGCCCAGAAAUUUACUCUCUUCUUUUUCUAAGCUUGCUGAAUUCUGUCUUCCUGCUAACGUAAAUUCCCUAAUGGCUGGGGCCUUGACACUUAUUCCCUCCUGUGGUACCAGCAUAAGGUAGGCAGUCAGUUGAAUAUUUGUAAGGUGAAUGGAUCCAAAUGGUAUUUUAAGGACCUUCUCAUUUCCCUGGUACCAUAACAGUGCAGUUUUUUUAUCUGCACCACUUGUGAGGCACCAGCUCUCCAGCCUCUCUGUGGGUCUCUAACUGCUCCCCAUCCCUUCCUCCUCCCACACCCAAAUUCUAAGUUUUAGCAGGUUCAAGUCCUUUUUCCACAACAAGCGUUGUCCUUAUUCAACUCUGCCUGCCUGAGUACUAUUUCUACACACAGAAUUCCCUUCUGGUUCUCUGCUUUCUCAUUUCAAGCUCAGGUGUCAGUUCUUUCAAAUGUUUCUUGUUUUGACUCCUUCCUCCAGGCCUCCAAAGCACUAUGUUUUUGUACAUUUGUUUCUCUUGGAGUCUGGUAUCAUGAAGGGCAUUUCUCUAUUCCUCUAUCCCUCUAUCAGCUCAGUGGCUAGCACCCACGCACUCACUAAAUUGGUAAUUGCCCUCUUAGUGUAUGCGAUUUAAAAAUUAGAAAAGAGAGCUGGGCACAGUGGCUCACGCCUAUAAUCCCAGCUACUCACGAGGCUAAGGCAGGAGUAUUGCAAGUUUGAGUCCAGCCUCAGCAACUUAAUGAUGAUUUAAGCAAUUUAGAGAGACCCUGUCUCAAAAAUAAAAAGCACUGGGGGGGUGUAGCCCAGUGACACAGCACCCCUGGUUCAAUCCCCAGUAAUAACAACAACCGAAUUAGCUGAGGGGCAUACACCUGUAGUCCCAACUACUUGGGAGUCUCAGGCAGGAGGAUUGCUUGAGCCCUGGAGUUUAGAGCCAUCCUGGGUGUCAUAGCUUAAAAAAGGAAUAAUAAUAAUAUGCUACAAUGAUUGACAAGACAUGUUGUUAAGAAAGCGAAGUUCCUAGGCUGGGACUGGGGCUCAGCGGUAGAGCGCUCGCCUAGCACAUGUGAGGCACUGGGUUCGAUCCUCAGCACCACAUAAAAAAAAAAAAUGAAAUAAAAAUAUUGUGUGUCCACCUACAACUAAAAAAUAAAUAUUAAAAAAAAAGCAAAGUUCUGGGCUAGCUUUUGUAUAAGAAAGGAGAAAAAAGAAAGCAGAUGGAUAUGCCAGGUUUUUACAAAGAAAAAUACAGAAAGAAUAGACCAAAAAUGAGUCCAGUGAGUUACUUAUGGGGAGAGGGGGAAGUGAGGAUUUCUUGGGUUACAGUCUUGUUAAAGGAAGCUAUAGAGCUCCGACUGGGGCAGGGAGACACUGCUUUCAGUAGAUCUUUCUAUGGAGUUUUUACUUCAAAUCGUGUUAACAUAUUCCAAAAUAUUCCACAAGUUAAAAUCAACAAGGGUGGGGUUAAGUACUUUAGAAAUGGAAUGCAUAUAUAAAC
rnacentral:lncRNA from 1 species